UUACUUCCUAAGACUAAUAUCUUUCAUUUUAGAGCAUAUUUGGUUGGUUUUUCGAACAUUGAAAAACCGUCCAUUUUGACACAAAAGAGCAUAUUUGGUUGGUUUUUCGAACAUUGAAAAACCGUCCAUUUUGACACAAAAGAGCAUAUUUGGUUGGUUUUUGGAACAUUG